rnacentral:tRNA from 1 species
UAGGAUGUAGUGUAAUGGGAGCACAAAGGGUUUUGAGCUCUUUGGUAUGGGUUCGGUCCUAUUGUUCUAG